AGCAGCCGCCGCGGGAAUACGGAGGAUCCAAGCGUUAUCCGGAAUCAUUGGGUUUAAAGGGUCCGUAGGCGGUCUUGUAAGUCAGUGGUGAAAGCCCAUCGCUCAACGGUGGAACGGCCAUUGAUACUGCAGGACUUGAAUUAUUGGGAAGUAACUAGAAUAUGUAGUGUAGCGGUGAAAUGCUUAGAGAUUACAUGGAAUACCAAUUGCGAAGGCAGGUUACUACCAAUUGAUUGACGCUGAUGGACGAAAGCGUGGGUAGCGAACAGGAUUAGAUACCCCGGUAGUCCCUGUCUCUUAUAC
rnacentral:rRNA from 1 species